rnacentral:rRNA from 1 species
CAGUAGCCGCGGUAAAACGGAGGGUGCAAGCGUUAAUCGGAAUUACUGGGCGUAAAGCGUGCGCAGGCGGUUGUGUAAGGCAGGUGUGAAAUCCCCGGGCUUAACCUGGGAACUGCGCUUGUGACUGCACAGCUAGAGUAUGGCAGAGGGGGGUGGAAUUCCACGUGUAGCAGUGAAAUGCGUAGAGAUGUGGAGGAACACCGAUGGCGAAGGCAGCCCCCUGGGCCAAUACUGACGCUCAUGCACGAAAGCGUGGGGAGCAAACAGGAUUAGAUACCCCGGUAGUCCCUGUCUCUUAUAC